UACGGGAGGCAGCAGUGGGGAAUAUUGCACAAUGGGCGCAAGCCUGAUGCAGCCAUGCCGCGUGUAUGAAGAAGGCCUUCGGGUUGUAAAGUACUUUCAGUCGUGAGGAAGGUGUUAAGGUUAAUAACCUUAGCAAUUGACGUUAGCGACAGAAGAAGCACCGGCUAACUCCGUGCCAGCAGCCGCGGUAAUACGGAGGGUGCGAGCGUUAAUCGGAAUUACUGGGCGUAAAGGGCACGCAGGCGGUUAAUUAAGUUGGAUGUGAAUCCCCGGGCUUAACCUGGGAAUGGCAUUCAAGACUGGUUAGCUAGAGUCUUGUAGAGGGGGUUAGAAUUCCAUGUGUAGCGGUGAAAUGCGUAGAGAUGUGGAGGAAUACCGGUGGCGAAGGCGGCCCCUGGGACAAAGACUGACGCUCAUGUGCGAAAGCGUGGGGAGCAAACAGGAUUAGAUAC
rnacentral:rRNA from 1 species